GUGUGGUCCGUGCCACCGAGGUACCUGUGUCCUGGGAGAGCUUCAACAAUGGCGACUGCUUCAUCCUGGACCUGGGCAACGACAUUUACCAAUGGUGUGGCUCCAACAGCAACCGCUUUGAGAGGCUGAAGGCCACACAGGUGUCCAAGGGCAUCCGGGACAACGAGCGGAGUGGCCGGGCCCGAGUGCACGUGUCUGAGGAGGGCACUGAGCCCGAGGCGAUGCUCCAGGUGCUGGGCCCCAAGCCGGCUCUGCCUGCAGGUACCGAGGACACCGCCAAG
rnacentral:misc_RNA from 1 species